ensembl:snoRNA SNORA55 small nucleolar RNA, H/ACA box 55
GCACCGAAUCUUUCCCAUUCCUGCUGCUUCGUGCUGGUCUGGGGACAGAUGGUGCUACACUAUGAGCAGAGGAUAUCCAGAUGGGUUGUUUUCCAUUUGUCUUGGGACCUGUCUCUACAACUCUGCCACAUUU